CCUAAGUUAAAUUCAUUUUAUUUCCUCCACUUUUUUCCUCCUGACUCCUCGCGCGCACCGACCCCUCCUCAUCGUGCCGUAGCCGACUCUCCUUCCCAACUCGACGUCGAGCCCCUCUCCUUCCCCGAUGUCCUCCUCAUCGGCUGAUCUCUUCCCCUCCUCUGCGUCACCGGCGCGGAUCCAGCCACUACCCUCUCCCUUGCGUCGUCUCCUCAGCCGACGACGCCCUUGGAACCUUGAAGCCGCAGCGCUGCCUCCUCUUCUCAUCGCGGACGCCAAGCACUCGCCGGAAACCGAAGCCACCACCGUCUACUUCCUCUGCCCUAGCGCCGACGGCCUCCCUCUACCCUAGCUCCCGAUUGCCGCCGACCUUCUCCCCGGCCAGGAUCGAGAGCUUCGACGUCGACAGCUACGAGCUCCGAUCGCCGUAGUCAGCGGCUGAGUGUGAGACGCAGGUGCCCUGUGAUUGCAACCGCCCACCCUUCUCCACAGAACCGUGUGAAGCCGACCAUCGUCCACGCGAGCACCGCGGACACUGCUCUACCGGCGGCAACCAUCGCCUGUGCCCUAACCCGAAUCCAGUGAGGCCAUUGCCUUUCUUUUCUCUCUUUGCCACGGGACGUCACAACCCAUAUCUUAGAUGGUUUCACUAGUCACCGUGAGUAGUCGCUACUCAUCGGAGAACAAGAAACAGAAGGAGGAGAAGGAAAGGUGAGCAGCAAGGUUCUUCGGCUGCGAGCCCUACAAUAGAGCUUUGAGAUUUGGGUGAGUUAUUGGAAUUGAUUCAAGUUUGUUUAUCCUAAGUUGAUUAUGGCAUGCUUAGGGUUAAAGUUGGAUUAACUCAAGUUUAGGCGGUAAAAUUGUUUUACCGAGACCUAAACAUAUAUUGGGGGUUAAACGACGAUCAUAUUUUGAUUGGAGUUAUCCUAUAUAGGUUUUGAGAUUUUAUUUAGCUAUUUGCUAUAUGUGUAAUUAGCUAAAUACAUUUAUGUCAUCGCAGGAUAUUGAUUCUAGAUGGGCGUCUUGACGUAAGAUUUCUGGUCAUGAUCGACUGAUAAAGACGAAUACUUCUGACUUAUCUCUUUGAUAUAGUCGUUUUAAAUAUGCAUAAUAGUAUAUAGCUAGUAACAAUGAUUAUGUUUGCAUUUGUUUUAGUAUGCCACUAUUUGGUUCUUGUAGUAUGUCUAUAUUCGUAUCUGUUAUACAUUCAUGCUUAUAUCAUAUUGAUUGUUGCCAUGUGUACUCCUGUUCUUAGAAAUAGUGACAUACAUUGACCUAUUGUGUAGUAGACUUGUUAUUUGCCAUAUCUGAUUUGUGUACUUAGAUUUAUGAUUCCUAAAUCAUUAUAUGAUUUAUUUCCUUUUUGUACAUUUUAUAUGGAGGUGUAUACUGUCAGUAUCUACAUGCUUAGUGUCAUGCACCAUCUUGCAUGAUUGCAUGCUGAGCGAUUGUCGGCUCUAUUAUUGUUGAGCACAUCGCCAGUUACAUAAUCUAGACACACCACUUAUGGGUUAGUUGUAAAUCAGGCAGGGUGUGUGCAGUUUGCUCUAUCAGGGCUCCGCUGGUCCACUCAUGGGCAGCGAUGACUGCAGCGUGUAGCGGGCACGGAUUCCUCCCCUUGACCAUGAUACAGGGAGAUGAGAGCAUUGAGCUCCCCCACUCCGUUUGGGGUAGGAGGAUAGGUGUACUCCGACAACAUCCUAUCCACUCGGUCACUCAGGAACAGUGAUAACAGAGUGCACAGUUAUCAUAGCCCUACCCACCCAGUCUCACCAUCGCGUGUGAGAUGGUUGACUGGUGUCAGAGGUGACCAUGCCAUUUUUAUAUCAUAUGUAUGAAUUACAUUUAUUAUUUGUGCUUGCUGCAUUAUGUAUGAUGCAUUUUGGUGGUUGCAUAUGAAUGACAUGCAUACAGGUGAUAUUUUGUAUCUGGUCUGACGACCCUUAUUUCCGGAUAGGAGGUUCUGGUACAGUUUCUUCAGUCUUUUCAGUCUUCAUUUCCUACUUUUGUUCAAGAAACUGAACCGCAUAAUUAUUACUGUUAGUUAUGCCUUAUUAUGCAUGUUUAUCCGGUAUCCACUGAGUUCUUGAACUCACCCUGUUGAUUAUUCUUAUUUCAGGUUGAAACUGUCAGGAGGUUCUAGUUGCUAGUCCCCUUGCCACAAGGAUUUUCGCUUUGGUCUUUUGGUUUUCUGUUUAUUUGCUUAGAGCUAUGUUUCAGACUUGUUCUAGUUUUGCACUCUGGAUUUUGGGUGUUUUGUUUUAAGGCAUUGUAAUGGUUGAACUUUUGCUUGCUUGGUGGAUUUUCUAUUUGGUAUGUUUAGCUACGCACCAGCCGGUAGGCAGAAGAGGUAAGUUUGGAUGUUGUUUUCGAUUUCUUUUCAUAUUGUGAUGACAUUCGGAGGCUGAUAUAUUAUAACUGCGUGGAUUGUUUA